AGUACCGUGAGGGAAAGGCGAAAAGAACCCCGGGAGGGGAGUGAAAUAGAUCCUGAAACCGCAUGCUUACAAAAAGUAGGAGCCUCGUAAGGGGUGACUGCGUACCUUUUGUAUAAUGGGUCAGCGACUUACAUUCAGUGGCAAGGUUAACCGAAUAGGGGUAGCCGUAGAGAAAUUCGAGUCCGAAUAGGGCGUCAUAGUCGCUGGGUGUAGACCCCGAAACCAAGUGAUCUAUCCCAUGGGCAGGAUGAAGGUGCCGUAACAGGUACUGGAGGUUCCGAACCGACUAAUGUUGCNAAAAUUAGCGGAUGACCUGUGGAUAGGGGUGAAAGGCUAAACAAACUUGGAAAUAGCUGGUUCUCUCCGAAAACUAUUUAGGUAUCGCCUCGCAUGAAUGCUUCGGGGGGUAGAGCACUGGAUGGGCUAGGGGGACUUACCGUCUUACCAAACCCAACCAAACUCCGAAUACCCGAAAGCAAUGUGCGGGAGUCAGACGGCGGGUGCUAACGUCCGUCGUCGAGAGGGAAACAACCCGGACCUACAGCUAAGGCCCCCAAUUCGUGGCUAAGUUGGAAAGGAUGUGGGAAUCCCAAAACAACCAGGAGGUUGGCUUAGAAGCAGCCAU
rnacentral:rRNA from 1 species